GGCAAAUGAUAAUCACAUGUUGAAGUGAAAUGCUUUAUAUCCAGUGGAUCAAACAAGAAAAGCAGCAGAAAGGUAAAGAGCAGUUUCUGAUGUCGUGUAAAAAGACCAGAGAUGACUGGUCACAGUGACGCACGCUGGCUGUUUCAUAAUACUGACCAAUUGCUUUAAUCAGGCAUCAGUUAGGUCAGCUACAGGCUGUCUUAAGUGUGGAAGGUCUUUGUGAUCAGAGUGUGGAAACAUGGAACCUAGAUUUUAAGUUCUGCCACUCGAUAACUGACUCUCUGCUUGUAGACAUGAAAAACAUCAGUACUGACAAGAGGCUCCAAUUUUUUCCUUAAUCUUUAAAUUGCGAUGCUACUCAACCUUUACACAUUACCCCAUUUAAUGCUCACAAUAACCCCAUGAGAUAAGUGGAGUGUUAUUUCCUGCAUUUAAGAAAUAAAUCCAAACUCAUCAAGUUGUACAUAUUAAAAAAGGAAAAGAGGAGUCGGCGGUUGCCUGGGUCUCGGCUGGGUGUCCGCGCACCCUCGGAGCCAUGCUGCGGAGCUGCGCCGCGCGCCUGCGCACGCUCGGGGCCGGACGGGGAGGCGCGCGCCCACCGGCUGGAAACCCGGGACCCGCGCAGAGGUGGUUUUCUUCGGAGAAGCUCUCUGCAAACGACCGCUCGCUCCCCAACCCCAGCUGGAACAAGGACUUAAGGCUCCUCUUUGAGCAGUUCAUGAAGAAAUGUGAAGACGGCUCCUGGACACACAUGCCUUCCUAUAGCUAUAAAAAUACUCUAAGUACUCAAGACUUCACAACUCUUAUUCGUGACAGAAAUCCAAGCCAAGUUCUCAGAAUGCAAAACAAGACUAACAGGGAAGCAAUAAUGUUCCCUGGGAGGAACAGGAUUGGUAAGCAGUGGGGACCUAAUAGUAAAUUUACCAGCCAUUAUUGAAAGAACUCACUCUUACACAAGUUUUUCUCCUUCACUAAGCUGAAUUUGGAAAGGAAGGAACAACAUAGAAUUUUUACUUUGCUCUCUGGGCCUGGCACUAGAGACAAAAAUCCAAGAGAGGGGACUUUGGUAAGAACUUUUGCCCUUUGACAGCUUCUGCCAGAUUUCCGAGGAUCCCAUCUGCCAGCUUUGGAGCAAGUGGAGUGUCCCAGCAGGUCCCAUCUGGGCUACCAGAAACUAUAGGGGAGGAAAAAUAAUUUUCUUUCUAUCCUUCUGAGAUCUUGGCUAAUAAAAGAUAGACUAACAAAAAAAAAAAAAAAA